CUCUUAUCAAGAGAGGCUGAGGGACGUGCCCUAUGAAGCCCAGCAACCGUCUUACCAAAGACAUGGUGCUAAAUCACAAUAAAGUAGCUGACUACUUUUGAAGAUGAGAG
rnacentral:ncRNA from 2 species